UGUUCCCAAAGACUUGCUUUUGAUGAAACUUUUGUGCGAUCUAUCUUUGAAUCCAUUAAAUCCCAACAAUAAUUAUAUUUUAGCAUUAGAAACA